rnacentral:rRNA from 1 species
UCUGAAUAGGGCGUUUAGUAUUUGGUCGUAGACCCGAAACCAGGUGAUCUACCCUUGGUCAGGUUGAAGUUCAGGUAACACUGAAUGGAGGACCGAACCGACUUACGUUGAAAAGUGAGCGGAUGAACUGAGGGUAGCGGAGAAAUUCCAAUCGAACCUGGAGAUAGCUGGUUCUCUCCGAAAUAGCUUUAGGGCUAGCCUCAAGUGAUGAUUAUUGGAGGUAGAGCACUGUUUGGACGAGGGGCCCCUCUCGGGUUACCGAAUUCAGACAAACUCCGAAUGCCAAUUAAUUUAACUUGGGAGUCAGAACAUGGGUGAUAAGGUCCGUGUUCGAAAGGGAAACAGCCCAGACCACCAGCUAAGGUCCCAAAAUAUAUGUUAAGUGGAAAAGGAUGUGGCGUUGCCCAGACAACUAGGAUGUUGGCUUAGAAGCAGCCAUCAUUUAAAGAGUGCGUAAUAGCUCACUAGUCGAGUGACACUGCGCCGAAAAUGUACCGGGGCUAAACAUAUUACCGAAGCUGUGGAUUGUCCUUUGGACAAUGGUAGGAGAGCGUUCUAAGGGCGUUGAAGCAUGAUCGUAAGGACAUGUGGAGCGCUUAGAAGUGAGAAUGCCGGUGUGAGUAGCGAAAGACGGGUGAGAAUCCCGUCCACCGAUUGACUAAGGUUUCCAGAGGAAGGCUCGUCCGCUCUGGGUUAGUCGGGUCCUAAGCUGAGGCCGACAGGCGUAGGCGAUGGAUAACAGGUUGAUAUUCCUGUACCACCUAUAAUCGUUUUAAUCGAUGGGGGGACGCAGUAGGAUAGGCGAAGCGUGCGAUUGGAUUGCACGUCUAAGCAGUAAGGCUGAGUAUUAGGCAAAUCCGGUACUCAUUAAGGCUGAGCUGUGAUGGGGAGAAGACAUUGUGUCUUCGAGUCGUUGAUUUCACACUGCCGAGAAAAGCCUCUAGAUAGAAAAUAGGUGCCCGUACCGCAAACCGACACAGGUAGUCAAGAUGAGAAUUCUAAGGUGAGCGAGCGAACUCUCGUUAAGGAACUCGGCAAAAUGACCCCGUAACUUCGGGAGAAGGGGUGCUCUUUAGGGUUAACGCCCAGAAGAGCCGCAGUGAAUAGGCCCAAGCGACUGUUUAUCAAAAACACAGGUCUCUGCUAAACCGUAAGGUGAUGUAUAGGGGCUGACGCCUGCCCGGUGCUGGAAGGUUAAGAGGAGUGGUUAGCUUCUGCGAAGCUACGAAUCGAAGCCCCAGUAAACGGCGGCCGUAACUAUAACGGUCCUAAGGUAGCGAAAUUCCUUGUCGGGUAAGUUCCGACCCGCACGAAAGGCGUAACGAUUUGGGCACUGUCUCAACGAGAGACUCGGUGAAAUCAUAGUACCUGUGAAGAUGCAGGUUACCCGCGACAGGACGGAAAGACCCCGUGGAGCUUUACUGUAGCCUGAUAUUGAAAUUCGGCACAGCUUGUACAGGAUAGGUAGGAGCCUUUGAAACGUGAGCGCUAGCUUACGUGGAGGCGCUGGUGGGAUACUACCCUAGCUGUGUUGGCUUUCUAACCCGCACCACUUAUCGUGGUGGGAGACAGUGUCAGGCGGGCAGUUUGACUGGGGCGGUCGCCUCCUAAAAGGUAACGGAGGCGCUCAAAGGUUCCCUCAGAAUGGUUGGAAAUCAUUCAUAGAGUGUAAAGGCAUAAGGGAGCUUGACUGCGAGACCUACAAGUCGAGCAGGGUCGAAAGACGGACUUAGUGAUCCGGUGGUUCCGCAUGGAAGGGCCAUCGCUCAACGGAUAAAAGCUACCCCGGGGAUAACAGGCUUAUCUCCCCCAAGAGUUCACAUCGACGGGGAGGUUUGGCACCUCGAUGUCGGCUCAUCGCAUCCUGGGGCUGUAGUCGGUCCCAAGGGUUGGGCUGUUCGCCCAUUAAAGCGGUACGCGAGCUGGGUUCAGAACGUCGUGAGACAGUUCGGUCCCUAUCCGUCGUGGGCGUAGGAAAUUUGAGAGGAGCUGUCCUUAGUACGAGAGGACCGGGAUGGACAUACCUCUGGUGUACCAGUUGUCGUGCCAACGGCAUAGCUGGGUAGCUAUGUGUGGACGGGAUAAGUGCUGAAAG